ACGGGGUGCAGCAGGCGCGAAAACUUUGCAAUGUGCGAAAGCACGACAAGGUUAAUCCGAGUGGUUUCUGCUAAAGAAACCUUUUGUUAGUCCUAGAAACACUAACGAAUAAGGGGUGGGCAAGUUCUGGUGUCAGCCGCCGCGGUAAAACCAGCACCUCAAGUGGUCAGGAUGAUUAUUGGGCCUAAAGCAUCCGUAGCUCGUUUUGUAAGUUUUCGGUUAAAUCCAUGCGCUUAACGUAUGGGCUGCCGGGAAUACUGCAUAGCUAGGAAGUGGGAGAGGUAGACGGUACUCGGGAGGAAGGGGUAAAAUCCUUUGAUCUCUUGAUGACCACCUGUGGCGAAGGCGGUCUACCAGAACACGUUCGACGGUGAGGGAUGAAAGCUGGGGGAGCAAACCGGAUUAGAUACCCGGGUAGUCCCAGCUGUAAACUAUGCAAACUCAGUGAUGCAUUGGCUUGUGGCCAAUGCAGUGCUGCAGGGAAGCCGUUAAGUUUGCCGCCUGGGAAGUACGUACGCAAGUAUGAAACUUAAAGGAAUUGGCGGGGGAGCACCACAAGGGGUGAAGCCUGCGGUUCAAUUGGAGUCAACGCCAGAAAUCUUACCCGGAGAGACAGCAGAAUGAAGGUCAAGCUGAAGACUUUACCAGACAAGCUGAGGGGUGGUGCAUGGCCGUCGCCAGCUCGUGCCGUGAGAUGUCCUG
rnacentral:rRNA from 1 species